AGGAGACUGAGGUGAGGUACAGUAAUAAGGAGUAGCCCUCCCUCCCUCCCUCUGAUUAGAGACCCCAGACCAGGAUGUGAGCUCCAGAGACUUGAAGGAGACUGAGGUGAGGUACAGUAAUAAGGAGAAGCCCUCCCUCCCUCUGAUUAGAGACCCCAGACCAGGAUGUGAGCUCCAGAGACUUGAAGGAGACUGAGGUGAGGUACAGUAAUAAGGAGAUGCCCUCCCUCCCUCUGAUUAGAGACCCCAGACCAGGAUGUGAGCUCCAGAGACUUGAAGGAGACUGAGGUGAGGUACAGUAAUAAGGAGAUGCCCUCCCUCCCUCUGAUUAGAGACCCCAGACCAGGAUGUGAGCUCCAGAGACUUGAAGGAGACUGAGGUGAGGUACAGUAAUAAGGAGAUGCCCUCCCUCCCUCUGAUUAGAGACCCCAGACCAGGAUGUGAGCUCCAGAGACUUGAAGGAGACUGAGGUGAGGUACAGUAAUAAGGAGAUGCCCUCCCUCCCUCUGAUUAGAGACCCCAGACCAGGAUGUGAGCUCCAGAGACUUGAAGGAGACUGAGGUGAGGUACAGUAAUAAGGAGAAGCCCCCC
rnacentral:lncRNA from 1 species